GAUGAACGCUGGCGGCGUGCCUAAUACAUGCAAGUCGAGCGGUAAGGCCACUUCGGUGGUACACGAGCGGCGGACGGCUGAGUAACGCGUAGGAACAUACCCCAAACUGAGGGAUAACUGCCCGAAAGGGUAGCUAAUACCGCAUGUGCUCUUCGGAGUAAAGCUACGGCGGUUUGGGAAUGGCCUGCGUCCGAUUAGCUAGUUGGUGAGGUAAUAGCUCACCAAGGCGACGAUCGGUAGCUGGUCUGAGAGGAUGAUCAGCCAGACUGGGACUGAGAACGGCCCAGACUCCUACGGGAGGCAGCAGUAGGGAAUUUUCCACAAUGGACGAAAGUCUGAUGGAGCAACGCCGCGUGCAGGAUGAAGGCUUUCGGGUCGUAAACUGCUUUUAUCUGUGAAGAUUAUGACGGUAGCAGAUGAAUAAGGAUCGGCUAACUCCGUGCCAGCCGCCGCGGUAA
rnacentral:rRNA from 1 species